UACGUAGGGUGCAAGCGUUGUCCGGAAUUAUUGGGCGUAAAGAGCUCGUAGGCGGUUUGUCGCGUCUGCUGUGAAAACGCGAGGCUCGAACCUCGCGCCUGCAGUGGGUACGGGCAGACUAGAGUGCGGUAGGGGAGGAUUGGAAUUCCUGGUGUAGCGGUGGAAUGCGCAGAUAUCAGGAGGAACACCAAUGGCGAAGGCAGAUCUCUGGGCCGUAACUGACGCUGAGGAGCGAAAGCAUGGGGAGCGAACAGG
rnacentral:rRNA from 1 species